GAGAGUAGGUGUAGGCGGUUACAGAAUGGUGUAAACACCAUUUUGAGGAAAGUCCGGGCUUCCUAAAGACCUGACUUGCUGGAUAACUCCCAGUGCGAGUGAUCGUGAGGAUAGUGCCACAGAAAAAUACCGCCUCUAAAUUUUAGAUUUCAAAUUGCAAAUUUUAGAUUUUAGAAUCAAUCGAAAGUCCAAAAUUUAAAAUUUGAAAUCCUUAGGGGUAAGGGUGCAAAGGUGUGGUAAGAGCACACCAGCAGUAUCGAGAGGUACUGGCUAGGUAAACCCCGGUUGGAAGCAAGGUCACAGGAGUGAUGGUUGGUCUUUUACCGACUCCGCUAAAUUAGAGCCGCUAGAGGUGUUUGGUAACAAACAUCCCAGAUAGAUAACCGCCCUCAUGAGUUAAUUGCUCAUGAGAACAGAACCCGGCUUACUACCAACUCUCUCUC
rfam:Richelia intracellularis HH01, WGS project CAIY01000000 data, contig: 00009